GUGCUCGCUUCGGCAGCACAUAUACGAAAAUUGGAAGGAUACAGAGAAGAUUAGCAUGGCCCCUGCACAAGGAUGACAUGCAAAUUUGUGAAGGGCUCCAUAUUUUU
ensembl:snRNA U6 U6 spliceosomal RNA